rnacentral:rRNA from 1 species
UACGUAGGUGGCAAGCGUUGUCCGGAAUUAUUGGGCGUAAAGCGCGCGCAGGCGGCCUCUUAAGUCUGAUGUGAAAGCCCCCGGCUCAACCGGGGAGGGCCAUUGGAAACUGGGAGGCUUGAGUAUAGGAGAGAAGAGUGGAAUUCCACGUGUAGCGGUGAAAUGCGUAGAGAUGUGGAGGAACACCAGUGGCGAAGGCGACUCUUUGGCCUAUGAACUGACGCUGAGGCGACGAAGCGUGGGGAGCAAACAGG